ensembl:snoRNA SNORA71 Small nucleolar RNA SNORA71
CCCUGUAUCGAAAGUGAUCAUGACACCCUAGUGGUCAGGUCAUUGAUAGUACAGGAAGAGGAAACUGAGAGCUUUUCCCGUGUUUGAAGGACCCUCAGUUCCUUUGGAACCCUGACGCUCUCAGACA